ACACGACCCUGAUUGCUGUAGU
rnacentral:miRNA from 1 species